AAAUUUAUCCAAAACUGUUGAACAGAUAUUUAAAAAUAAAAGUUCUGUUGACCAGAAUUCUCCAUUUGCUUUUCUCCUGGCAAACUUAUCAACCUUAGUUGUCAUUUUAAAUUGUCCUUUUAACUUUUGCUGCUUUAAGAUAUACUUUAUAUGAAAGUUUCAGUUCCCACCUCCUCUACUUCAGAGAACUACCCUUCUUCUCUUGAAUGACACUACUUGCUCAAGUAAUAAACACAGACACACACAAACACACAUACGAAUCCACUUCAGUCUUAGGUAGAAUAUAACCUUGAGGCCCCCUAUCCUGUGGGUCAGAAAUGACAGUCUGGUUAUAUCACUGUUUCUUUCUCCUUAUGGUUUAAUGGUGUGGAAUUUCAUUUUACAUUAUAGCUGACAUUUUUAUUUUUAUAUGUUUGGAACAGGAAGAGCAAGAUCUGGAUCAACAGGGAAAUGAGGAAAACCUGUUUGAUUCUUUGACAGGCCAGCCACAUCCUGAAGAUGUACUACUGUUUGCCAUUCCAAUAUGCGCCCCUUACACCACCAUGACAAACUACAAGUAAGUUACCAUUAGUUGACAGAACGGCUUUUGUGGAUUGUUUUGUAACAUCUAUUUAGUAACACAUGUAAUUCCUUUUUAAAGAUACAAAGUGAAACUUACUCCUGGAGUGCAGAAAAAGGGAAAAGGUAUUUAAAUUUGUUUUUUUGAAUUAUGAUUUUAAACAGUUCAGUGACUUAACAGUAGAUUAUUCUUACUCUUUUUUGUAUUUACAGCUGCAAAAACAGCCUUGAAUAGUUUCAUGCAUUCCAAAGAAGCAACAGCAAGAGAAAAAGACUUAUUCCGCAGUGUAAAGGUAAAGUUCUCCUUCAGAAA
rnacentral:sRNA from 1 species